rnacentral:rRNA from 1 species
GUGACUGCGUACCUUUUGUAUAAUGGGUCAGCGACUUAUAUUCUGUAGCAAGGUUAACCGWAUAGGGGAGCCGGAGGGAAACCGAGUCUUAAYYGGGCGUUAAGUUGCAGGGUAUAGACCCGAAACCCGGUGAUCUAGCCAUGGGCAGGUUGAAGGUUGGGUAACACUAACUGGAGGACCGAACCGACUAAUGUUGAAAAAUUAGCGGAUGACCUGUGGCUGGGGGUGAAAGGCCAAUCAAACCGGGAGAUAGCUGGUUCUCCCCGAAAGCUAUUUAGGUAGCGCCUCGUGAAUUCAUCUCCGGGGGUAGAGCACUGUUUCGGCUAGGGGGCCAUCCCGGCUUACCAACCCGAUGCAAACUGCGAAUACCGGAGAAUGUUAUCACGGGAGACACACGGCGGGUGCUAACGUCCGUCGUGAAGAGGGAAACAACCCAGACCGCCAGCUAAGGUCCCAAAGUCAUGGUUAAGUGGGAAACGAUGUGGGAAGGCCCAGACAGCCAGGAUGUUGGCUUAGAAGCAGCCAUCAUUUAAAGAAAGCGUAAUAGCUCACUGGUCGAGUCGGCCUGCGCGGAAGAUGUAACGGGGCUAAACCAUGCACCGAAGCUGCGGCAGCGAC